rnacentral:rRNA from 1 species
UGGGGAAUAUUGCACAAUGGGGGAAACCCUGAUGCAGCGACGCUGCGUGAGCGAAGAAGUAUCUCGGUAUGUAAAGCUCUAUCAGCAGGGAAGAAAAUGACGGUACCUGACUAAGAAGCACCGGCUAAAUACGUGCCAGCAGCCGCGGUAAUACGUAUGGUGCAAGCGUUAUCCGGAUUUACUGGGUGUAAAGGGAGCGUAGACGGAGAAGCAAGUCUGGAGUGAAAGCCCGGGGCUCAACCCCGGGACUGCUUUGGAAACUGUUACUCUUGAGUGCCGGAGAGGUAAGCGGAAUUCCUAGUGUAGCGGUGAAAUGCGUAGAUAUUAGGAGGAACACCAGUGGCGAAGGCGGCUUACUGGACGGUAACUGACGUUGAGGCUCGAAAGCGUGGGGAGCAAACA